AUGGCCUGGACCCCUCUCCUGCUCCCCCUCCUCACUCUCUGCACAGGUUCUGUGGCCUCUUCUCAGCUGACUCAGCCACCUGCGGUGUCCGUGUCCUUACGACAGACGGCCAGGAUCACCUGCCAGGGAGACAACUUAGGAAGCAAUUAUGUUAGCUGGUACCAGCAGAAGCCAGGCCAGGCCCCUGUGCUGGUCAUUUAUAAGGAUAGCGAGCGGCCCUCCGGGAUCCCUAACCGAUUCUCUGGCUCCAGUUCAGGCAACACAGCCACACUGACCAUCAGCGGGGCCCAGACCGAGGACGAGGCUGACUAUUACUGUGCUACUAGUACUGGUUACAGCACCCUCCAGGGAGGCUCUGCACAGGGGGCUCAGCAGUGA